UACGGAGGGUGCGAGCGUUGUCCGGAAUCACUGGGCGUAAAGGGCGCGUAGGCGGCUGGGGAAGUCUGUGGUGAAAGCUCGUGGCUCAACUGCGAGUCGGCCAUGGAUACUCCUCGGCUCGAGCACUGUAGAGGCAGGUGGAAUUCCGGGUGUAGCGGUGGAAUGCGUAGAUAUCGGAAGGAACACCUGUGGCGAAAGCGGCUCACUGGACCAUAACUGACGCUGAGGCGCGAAAGCUAGGGGAGCAAACAGG
rnacentral:rRNA from 1 species